UCUUACCCCCACAGUAUUUGUCUGCAGAGAGUAAGUUAUCUGUGUAUCAUGUUUGGUUGAAAUUGCUCAAGGCGUUGCAGAGUUAUGCUGUAACAUAGAUUCAUACAGCCCUUGGUAGGUAGGUAGGUAGAUGAUAGAUAGAUAGAUAGAUAGAUAGAUAGAUAGAUAGAUAGAUAGAUAUGGAUCCUGAAUUCUUGAUUAAGAGGGGUGAGGCUUUUGGAUGUCAGCUGAUCAGGCUUGCCCUUUCUGGGGGGGCGCAUUCAAGUUCUCCCCCCAUUCCAUUCUGGAGAGGGGCUCCCCCACCCAAUGUUACAGAACCUAUUCAAGUCCUAGCAGAAUCCCAGUUUUGCAUAUAACUCAGUUUGAAAAAUCCUGGUCUGUUUCAUGUUGCUACAGA